rnacentral:antisense_RNA from 1 species
CUUCACCGAGCCCAGCCAGAGCGGACGCUCCGGGUCGCGAUCCUGGCCGUAGGUGGCCAGCAACGCCUGCGCCUC